GAUGAACGCUGGCGGCGUGCCUAAUACAUGCAAGUCGAGCGAACAGACGAGGAGCUUGCUCCUCUGACGUUAGCGGCGGACGGGUGAGUAACACGUGGAUAACCUACCUAUAAGACUGGGAUAACUUCGGGAAACCGGAGCUAAUACCGGAUAAUAUAUUGAACCGCAUGGUUCAAUAGUGAAAGACGGUUUUGCUGUCACUUAUAGAUGGAUCCUCGCCGCAUUAGCUAGUUGGUAAGGUAACGGCUUACCAAGGCAACGAUGCGUAGCCGACCUGAGAGGGUGAUCGGACACACUGGAACUGAGACACGGUCCAGACUCCUACGGGAGGCAGCAGUAGGGAAUCUUCCGCAAUGGGCGAAAGCCUGACGGAGCAACGCCGCGUGAGUGAUGAAGGUCUUCGGAUCGUAAAACUCUGUUAUUAGGGAAGAACAAAUGUGUAAGUAACUAUGCACUUCUUGACGGUACCUAAUCAGAAAGCCACGGCUAACUACGUG
rnacentral:rRNA from 1 species